rnacentral:rRNA from 1 species
UGGGGAAUAUUGCACAAUGGAGGGAACUCUGAUGCAGCGACGCCGCGUGAACGAAGAAGGCUUCCGAGUCGUAAAGUUCUUUUAUAUGGGAAGAUAAUGACGGUACCAUAAGAAAAAGCCCCGGCUAACUACGUGCCAGCAGCCGCGGUAAUACGUAGGGGGCUAGCGUUGUCCGGAAUCACUGGGCGUAAAGGGUUCGCAGGCGGAAAUGCAAGUCAGGUGUAAAAGGCAGUAGCUUAACUACUGUAAGCAUUUGAAACUGCAUAUCUUGAGAAGAGUAGAGGUAAGUGGAAUUUUUAGUGUAGCGGUGAAAUGCGUAGAUAUUAAAAAGAAUACCGGUGGCGAAGGCGACGUACUGGGCUCAUUCUGACGCUGAGGAACGAAAGCGUGGGUAGCAAACAGG